rnacentral:rRNA from 1 species
UACCCGCCGCACAAGUGGUGGUCAUUAUUAUUGGGCCUAAAGCGUCCGUAGCUGGCCUGUUAGAUGCCUGGGUAAAUCGAUGCGCUCAACGUAUCGAACUCCGGGUAGACCGGCAGGCUUGGGACCGGGAGAGGCGUGAGCUACUUGAGGGGUAGGGGUAAAAUCCUGUAAUCCUUCGGGGAGGACCAGUGGCGAAGGCGUCACGCUAGAACGGCUCCGACAGUGAGGGACGAAGCCCUGGGGCGCAAACCGG